rnacentral:rRNA from 1 species
GGAAGGUGCAAGCGUUAAUCGGAAUCACUGGGGCGUAAAGCGCGCGUAGGCGGUUAGAUAAGUCGGGUGUGAAAGCCCUGGGGCUCAACCUGGGGAACUGCAUUCGAUACUGUCUGACUAGAGUGUGAUAGAGGGAAGCGGAAUUCCGCAUGUAGCGGUGAAAUGCGUAGAGAUGCGGAGGAACACCAAUGGCGAAGGCAGCCUCCUGGAUCAACACUGACGCUGAGGCGCGAAAGCGUGGGGAGCAAACAGGAUUAGAUACCCUGGUAGUCCACGCCGUAAACGAUGUCAACUAGCCGUCGGGAGCACUUUGGCUCUUGGUGGCGCAGCUAACGCGAUAAGUUGACCGCCUGGGGAGUACGGUCGCAAGAUUA